rnacentral:rRNA from 1 species
AACCCGACUACAUGAAGCUGGAAUCGCUAGUAAUCGCGAAUCAGAAUGUCGCGGUGAAUACGUUCCCGGGUCUUGUACACACCGCCCGUCACACCAUGGGAGUCGGUAACGCCCGAAGCCUGUGACCCAACCUAAUAGGAGGGAGCAGUCGAAGGUGGGACCGGUGACUGGGGUGAAGUCGUAACAAGGUAAC